UACGUAGGUGGCAAGCGUUGUCCGGAAUUAUUGGGCGUAAAGCGCGCGCAGGUGGUUUCUUAAGUCUGAUGUGAAGGCCCACGGCUCAACCGUGGAGGGUCAUUGGAAACUGGGGAACUUGAGUGCAGAAGAGGAAAGUGGAAUUCCAAGUGUAGCGGUGAAAUGCGUAGAGAUUUGGAGGAACACCAGUGGCGAAGGCGACUUUCUGGUCUGUAACUGACACUGAGGCGCGAAAGCGUGGGGAGCGAACAGG
rnacentral:rRNA from 1 species